GGGGGUGUACUCAAGCAGUCAACGAGGGCAGACUGUAAAUCUGCUGGCCUUGUGCCUACGUAGGUGCAAAUCCUACCGCCCCCA
rnacentral:tRNA from 2 species